rnacentral:lncRNA from 1 species
GAUCACAACAUUAAGCCGGCUGAUCAUAUAUUAACGUCACCGGAAAGAAAACCGGCGAAAUAAAAGUUUCCUAGAAACUACAGCCCUACCACAAGGAAUCAAACUAACAAAGAACAAGAUGAACAACAAGAUAAAUUCAGAAUAAAAUAUGGAACACAAAAUUAAAACCAACAGAUACAGAGAUACCAAGCACCCAAAUCAACCAAAAUCCUUGUGAACCUUCAACAAAAUUACCAAAUUCAUUGAUAACUGAUUGAUAACUGACCCCACCUAACCGCCACAGUUGUGAUUGGAGCUCGUCUUCUUACACUGAGGAUCUAUGCGUCUCUCAUCAAUCCACCCGCAUGAGCGUAGGUCGCACUGGAGGAUGCAGGUCCCGGAGAACCUCCAUCGACAAACAAAGAUCUCACAUCAAUCGGGAAAAAUCCUAACUUCAGCGACGACUUCGAUGACGGCGCGUCAGAGAUGAACUAUGAUUGGAAGCUCCGGCGUAGUGGCGCGUUACUCGUUUCCCCCGGGCAACAAAACUUCUUCCUCCUUGACCGAUUCACUCUCCAUCAUCACGGCGUUGUUCUCUUCCUCCUCUUCUUCUUAUCCGUUAAGCUUAGACUUCAGUUUACUAAUCUGCAUCAAAAAGUUUCAGUCUUCAAUAUAAAGUUUCAAUCUUUAAGCAUAAAGUUUCAAUCAUCAAACAUAAAGUUUUAAUCUUUAAGCAGGAAAAAGUUUGAAUUUUUGUUACUUCUUGAAAAAGAGAAUCAUUGUUCCGUCUUUUGAUCCAUA